rnacentral:lncRNA from 1 species
UCCCACGAUCGAGGCGCGCAAGUUUCCCGCAAACAGGCCUCCUGCUCCUACAGUGAAAGCCACAUGCAGCUUGGCCCGCCUGCUUUGUGCAUGCACCCCACAUGCGUGUUGUCCUUGACGUGUGGGCUGCUUCGCUCACACACGCAUUAACGCAGGAGGGUAUGAGAAGGAUUGAAUCAACUCCUAUAACCCACUCAGCGUAUAC